rnacentral:rRNA from 1 species
AUGUAUGGAGAAUCAGCGUCGGAGAGGAAGGGAGAGACAUGGAGGACUCUGAGGAUUUUAGAACAGCAACACCAAGAUGGAAGACCCUGGCUUUGCCUUGGAGACUUUAAUGAAAUUCUGUCAAACGAUGAGAAGAGAGGAGGGGUAGACAGACCGCAACAGGCCAUGGAUAAAUUCAGAGAUGCACUGUGUGAUUGUUCGCUGAUGGAUAUUGGAUUCGAGGGUGAUAUCUUUACAUGGUGCAACCAUGACAUUUGCGAACGGUUGGACAGAGCCACAACAAACCGGGAAUGGUGUGAUCUAUUCCCGAGCUUCAGGGUAGUAAAUGGUUCACCUCGACAUACUGAUCACAGGCCCAUUAUUGUUUGGACAGAGGGAGAGCACAGGCGUGGUAGAGGGGGCGGUGAUAGUGGAUUCAGAUUUGAGGCACAUUGGUUCCAGGAGGAAGGUUGUCAAGAGUUAAUUCAGGAGGCAUGGGAGGAAAGUAGGGAGCAAGGAGGGGUGGAUGUCGCCGGAUCAAUGCGUUUUCUCGCGGGUAAACUUCGCAAAUGGGACAGGGAGGUACUAGGGGAGUUGGAAGGAAGGCUGAAGAAAGCGAAGGCUGAUUUAGAAAGGUGUAUGAGGGAGACGGUGACGGAAGAGAAGAUUAAAGAAGAGGCGGAGUUGAGGUGUCAAGUUCAGAGGUUGGAGGAGAAGAAAUACACAAAAUACAAACAGAGAGCGCAUGUGUGGUGGCUUAGAAGAGGAGAUAGGAGCACACGGUAUCUUAGCGAAGGCUUCGGCACGACGCCGGAUAAAUACAAUAAAGGAGUUAAGAAGGGAGGAUGGGUCAGUAGUAGAGGAGGGAGAGGAACUCUCUAA